rnacentral:rRNA from 1 species
CUUACGGGUAGAUCUCCCACCCUUGAAUACCAUACCUUUGUUGCUUUGGCGGGCCGCUUCGGCUACUGGCUCUGGCUAGUGAGUGCCCGCCAAAGGAUCCCAAAACUCUGAAUAUUUGUGUCGUCUGAGUACUAUGUAAUAGUUAAAACUUUCAACAACGGAUCUCUUGGUUCUGGCAUCGAUGAAGAACGCAGCGAAAUGCGAUAAGUAAUGUGAAUUGCAGAAUUCAGUGAAUCAUCGAAUCUUUGAACGCACAUUGCGCCCCUUGGUAUUCCGAGGGGCAUGCCCGUUCGAGCGUCAUUAUAACCCCUCAAGCUCAGCUUGGUGUUGGGGCCUGCUGUUACCGGCAGCCCUUAAAAUCAGUGGCGGUGCCAUCUGGCUCUAAGCGUAGUAAUACUUCUCGCUACAGGGUCCUGGUGGAUGCUUGCCAUCAACCCCCUAAAUUUCUA